GACGAACGCUGGCGGCGUGCUUAACACAUGCAAGUCGAACGGAAAGGCCCUUCGGGGUACUCGAGUGGCAAACGGGUGAGUAACGCGUGGUUGAUCUUCGCUACACACUAGGAUAAGGCGGGGAAACUGGGGCAAAUGGCGAAUAUACCGGAUAGGUCCUUGGUGGGUGGGGGAAAUCGUUUGCGGGGUGGGAUGGGCCCGCGGCCUAUCAGCUUGUGGGUGGGGUAAUGGCGUACCAAGGCGAGGACGGGUAGCCGGCCUGAGAGGGUGACCGGCCACACUGGGACUAAGAUACGGCCCAGACUCCUACGGGAGGCAGCAGUGGGGAAUAUUGCACAAUGGGCGCAAGCCUGAUGCAGCGACGCCGCGUGAGGGAUGACGGCCUUCGGGUUGUAAACCUCUUUCAGCACAGACGAAGCGCAAGUGACGGUAUGUGCAGAAGAAGGACCGGCCAACUACGUGCCAGCCGCCGCAGUAAAAC
rnacentral:rRNA from 1 species